GACGUAGGGCGCGAGCGUUGUCCGGAUUUAUUGGGCGUAAAGAGCUCGUAGGCGGCUUGUCGCGUCGUUCGUGAAAACCUGCAGCUCAACUGCAGGCUUGCGGUCGAUACGGGCAGGCUGGAGUUCGGUAGGGGAGACUGGAAUUCCUGGUGUAGCGGCGAAAUGCGCAGAUAUCAGGAGGAACACCGGUGGCGAAGGCGGGUCUCUGGGCCGAUACUGACGCUGAGGAGCGAAAGCGUGGGGAGCGAACAGG
rnacentral:rRNA from 1 species